rnacentral:tRNA from 1 species
GGAGUGAGAAGCUAAAGUCUGAUUUACAGGCUGGUAGCACGAAAAGAGGCACGCCUGGAAAGCGUGUGUGCGCCAAAAGCGUACCGCGAGUUCGAAUCUCGCCCACUCCG